rnacentral:lncRNA from 1 species
GUAACAAUUCACAAAAAGCAAAAAAAAGACGGCGAACUACAGAUGACCAGUGAUGUACCAUAUUCAUGGUCUCCCUUUUAUUCUUGCCUCCAUUUAGGAAGAUGUCCAAUUCCUCUUCACCUUAGAACCCAAACCCAGAAAUAUUUGACCAGGGUGGGCUGAGCUCUUUGCAAGGAAACAUGUAUAUACCAGGUGUAUAUAUAUCCCAAAAUGUAGCUUGGCAUUUGGCUAUUGCCAACUUUCUACAUGCACGGCUAUAGCUUUGGGUUUUUGAGGGGUUUUUUUUGGCUGUAGCAGGAUCCUAUCUGCCUUGCAGUUUUUCUUGCAGUAGUUGCAAUUAUUGGUGGGUUUUUUAAAGGUGUAUUGUGUUUUUAGUUUUGUUCAACAUUUUCCCAAUUCAAUUUUUAGUGCAAAACAUUACCAUAUUGGCCAUGCAUAUCUAUAGUAAAAGAACAAUAGUAAUGCUUUUGUGCUUACUUUGGGAAGUAAUGUUUACUUCCCAAAGGAAAGAAAAAUGCAUUCAUGUGAUCCUGUGAAUCAAAUACACUUAAAUUUUAAGUUUUAAGAACUUGCAAAUGGACAUAUAAGUAUAAUUAAUGUGACAGAUCUAGCAUUGAAAAGACCUGAAUUUAAGUCCUACUUCAAACUUUUACUAGCUGUGAAGUCUGGGGCAAAAUCACUUAACCUCUGAAAUUCAAUUUUCUCACUUAAAUGAGAGGGAUAUAAUUAUUUAAUAGCUUUUAAGUCCUUUUCAGCUCUAAAUCUGUUAAUCCUAUAAAAUAUACAUUCAAAUAAAGACCAAUCAGUUCUAAGCCAGAUCUUUUGUAAUUUUGAAUUCCAAAUUUUCUCUGUUCAGUCUCUGCCCAUUGAAAAAGUGAAAAAGAUUUUUUCAUUAAAUAUUUUCAGGAAAUUUUAAGUCUCCUUUAACCCUUCUCCAAUUGUUCAGCUUCUGGGACAUCUGGGACAUCUACAUAAAUCUUAAUCAAGUUAUCUCAAUUUUCCAUUUCAUCUCUUAAAGUUUAUGGAGCACUUAGCUUGUCACAUUGUGGAGCACAUCGUUCAGUUACUCAAGUCUU